rnacentral:rRNA from 1 species
GGGGGGCCUACACAUGCAAGUCGAACGAGGUCGCCUUCGGGCAAUGACCAAGUGGCGAACGGGUGCGUAACACGUGAGGAACCUGCCCCGAAGACUGGGACAACCACGGGAAACUGUGGCUAAUACCAGAUGCCCUCCGCUGAUCGCAUGAUCGGCAGAGGAAAUGCUCCGGCGCUUCGGGAGGGCCUCGCGGCCUAUCAGCUUGUUGGUGAGGUAACGGCUCACCAAGGCAUCGACGGGUAGCUGGUCUGAGAGGACGAUCAGCCACACUGGGACUGAGACACGGCCCAGACUCCUGCGGGAGGCAGCAGUGGGGAAUCUUGCGCAAUGGGCGAAAGCCUGACGCAGCAACGCCGCGUGGGGGAUGAAGGCUCUCGGGUUGUAAACCCCUUUCAGCAGGGACGAAAUUGACGGUACCUGAAGAAGAAGCCCCGGCCAACUACGUGCCAGCAGCCGCGGUGACACGUAGGGGGCGAGCGUUGUCCGGAAUUAUUGGGCGUAAAGAGCUCGUAGGCGGUUUAGUAAGUCAGAUGUGAAAGGUUGGGGCUCAACCCUAAGACUGCAUCCGAUACUGCUAUGACUAGAGUCCGGUAGAGGAGUGUGGAAUUCCUGGUGUAGCGGUGAAAUGCGCAGAUAUCAGGAGGAACACCGACGGCGAAGGCAGCACUCUGGGCCGGUACUGACGCUCAGGGGCGAAAGCGUGGGUAGCAAACAGGAUUAGAUACCCUGGUAGUCCACGCCGUAAACGUUGGGCACUAGGUGUGGGGCCUUAUCAACGGGUUCCGUGCCGUAGCUAACGCAUUAAGUGCCCCGCCUGGGGAGUACGGCCGCAAGGCUAAAACUCAAAGGAAUUGACGGGGGCCCGCACAAGCGGCGGAGCAUGUUGCUUAAUUCGAGGCAACGCGAAGAACCUUACCUGGGUUUGACAUGUACGGAAAAGCCAUAGAGAUAUGGUGUCCUUCGGGGCCGUA